rnacentral:rRNA from 1 species
AGAUUGAACGCCGGCGGCAUGCCUUACACAUGCAAGUCGAACGGCAGCACGGGAGCAAUCCUGGUGGCGAGUGGCGAACGGGUGAGUAAUACAUCGGAACGUGCCCAAUCGUGGGGGAUAACGCAGCGAAAGCUGUGCUAAUACCGCAUAAGAUCUACGGAUGAAAGCAGGGGAUCGCAAGACCUUGCGCGAAUGGAGCGGCCGAUGGCAGA